AUUGAACGCUGGCGGCAUGCUUUACACAUGCAAGUCGAACGGUAACAGGCCGCAAGGUGCUGACGAGUGGCGAACGGGUGAGUAAUGCAUCGGAACGUGCCCAGUCGUGGGGGAUAACUACUCGAAAGAGUAGCUAAUACCGCAUACGAUCUAUGGAUGAAAGCGGGGGACCGUAAGGCCUCGCGCGAUUGGAGCGGCCGAUGUCAGAUUAGGUAGUUGGUGGGGUAAAGGCUCACCAAGCCAACGAUCUGUAGCUGGUCUGAGAGGACGACCAGCCACACUGGGACUGAGACACGGCCCAGACUCCUACGGGAGGCAGCAGUGGGGAAUUUUGGACAAUGGGCGCAAGCCUGAUCCAGCAAUGCCGCGUGCAGGAAGAAGGCCUUCGGGUUGUAAACUGCUUUUGUACGGAAAGAAAAGGCUCUGGUUAAUACCCGGGGCUAAUGACGGUACCGUAAGAAUAAGCACCGGCUAACUACGUG
rnacentral:rRNA from 1 species